rnacentral:rRNA from 1 species
GAUGAACGCUGGCGGUAUGCCUAACACAUGCAAGUCGUACGAGAGUUUUUAACUCUAGUGGCGGACGGGUGAGUAACACGUGAGAAUUUGCCUUUAGGAGGGGGAUAACAAUUGGAAACGAAUGCUAAUACCCCAUAUGCUUUUGAGUGAAAUGGAUUUUAUCCGCCUAGAGAGAAGCUCGCGGCUGAUUAGCUUGUUGGUAAGGUAAGAGCUUACCAAGGCGACGAUCAGUAUCUGGUUUGAGAGGACGAUCAGACACACUGGAACUGAGACACGGUCCAGACUCCUACGGGAGGCAGCAGUGGGGAAUUUUCCGCAAUGGGCGAAAAGCCUGACGGAGCAAUACCGCGUGAGGGAAGAAUGCCUAUGGGUUGUAAACCUCUUUUUUCAGGGAGGAAUAAAAAUGACGUGUACCUGAAGAAUAAGCAUCGGCUAACUCCGUG